rnacentral:rRNA from 1 species
GACGAACGCUGGCGGCGUGCUUAACACAUGCAAGUCGAACGGUGAAGCUCAAGCUUGCUUGGGUGGAUCAGUGGCGAACGGGUGAGUAACACGUGAGCAACCUGCCCCGGACUCUGGAAUAAGCGCUGGAAACGGCGUCUAAUACUGGAUAUGACACCAAUCCGCAUGGGUAUGGUGUGGAAAGUUUUUCGGUCUGGGAUGGGCUCGCGGCCUAUCAGCUUGUUGGUGAGGUAAUGGCUCACCAAGGCGACGACGGGUAGCCGGCCUGAGAGGGCGACCGGCCACACUGGGACUGAGACACGGCCCAGACUCCUACGGGAGGCAGCAGUGGGGAAUAUUGCACAAUGGGCGAAAGCCUGAUGCAGCGACGCCGCGUGAGGGAUGACGGCCUUCGGGUUGUAAACCUCUUUCAGCAGGGAAGAAGCGAAAGUGACGGUACCUGCAGAAGAAGCACCGGCUAACUACGUGCCAGCAGCCGCAGUAAAAC